rnacentral:rRNA from 1 species
AGUGAACGCUGGCGGUAGGCCUAACACAUGCAAGUCGAACGGCAGCACAGUAAGAGCUUGCUCUUACGGGUGGCGAGUGGCGGGCGGGUGAGGAAUACAUCGGACUCUACUUUUUCGUGGGGGAUAACGUAGGGAAACUUACGCUAAUACCGCAUACGACCUACGGGUGAAAGCAGGGGAUCUUCGGACCUUGCGCGAUUGAAUGAGCCGAUGUCGGAUUAGCUAGUUGGGGGGGUAAAGGCCCACCAAGGCGACGAUCCGUAGCUGGUCUGAGAGGAUGAUCAGCCACACUGGAACUGAGACACGGUCCAGACUCCUACGGGAGGCAGCAGUGGGGAAUAUUGGACAAAGGGCGCAAGCCUGAUCCAGCCAUACCGCGUGGGUGAAGAAGGCCUUCGGGUUGUAAAGCCCUUUUGUUGGGAAAGAAAAGCAGCAGGUUAAUACCCCGCUGUUCUGACGGUACCCAAAGAAUAAGCACCGGCUAACUUCGUG